UACGAAGGGGGCUAGCGUUGCUCGGAAUCACUGGGCGUAAAGCGCACGUAGGCGGCUUUCUAAGUCAGGGGUGAAAUCCUGGAGCUCAACUCCAGAACUGCCUUUGAUACUGGAGAGCUAGAGUCCCGGAAGAGGUGAGUGGAACUGGCGAGUGUAGAGGUGAAAUUCGUAGAUAUCGCAAGAACACCAGUGGCGAAGGCGG
rnacentral:rRNA from 1 species